AAGUGUAAUUCUUAGGUGGAGAAUUGAAGAAAUGGAGGAAGAAUUGCAGAAAACACAGCGCUCAUUUAGAAACCAGAUUGCUGCUCAGGAAAAAAAACUGCAUGCUAACUGGGUAAAAUUUCAUGCUGCAGAAAAGGCUAUAGCUGAAGAGAAAAGGGAAGUCGCUGACCUGAGACACAAGUAAGUG